rnacentral:rRNA from 1 species
GACGAACGCUGGCGGCGUGCUUAACACAUGCAAGUCGAACGGAAAGGCCCUGCUUUUGUGGGGUGCUCGAGUGGCGAACGGGUGAGUAACACGUGAGUAACCUGCCCUUGACUUUGGGAUAACUUCAGGAAACUGGGGCUAAUACCGGAUAGGAGCUCCUGCUGCAUGGUGGGGGUUGGAAAGUUUCGGCGGUUGGGGAUGGACUCGCGGCUCAUCAGCUUGUUGGUGGGGUAGUGGCUUACCAAGGCUUUGACGGGUAGCCGGCCUGAGAGGGUGACCGGCCACAUUGGGACUGAGAUACGGCCCAGACUCCUACGGGAGGCAGCAGUGGGGAAUAUUGCACAAUGGGCGGAAGACUGAUGCAGCAACGCCGCGUGCGGGAUGACGGCCUUCGGGUUGUAAACCGCUUUCGCCUGUGACGAAGCGUGAGUGACGGUAAUGGGUAAAGAAGCACCGGCUAACUACGUG